rnacentral:rRNA from 1 species
GGCCGCGGGAAUUCGAUUAAAGCCUAACACAUGCAAGUCGAGCGAUUUACUUUUCUUUAGAGCGGCGGACGGGUGAGUAACGCGUGGGUAACCUGCCCUGUACACACGGAUAACAUACCGAAAGGUAUGCUAAUACGAGAUAAUAUACUUUUAUCGCAUGGUAGAAGUAUCAAAGCUUUUGCGGUACAGGAUGGACCCGCGUCUGAUUAGCUAGUUGGUAAGGUAACGGCUUACCAAGGCGACGAUCAGUAGCCGACCUGAGAGGGUGAUCGGCCACAUUGGAACUGAGACACGGUCCAAACUCCUACGGGAGGCAGCAGUGGGGAAUAUUGCACAAUGGGCGAAAGCCUGAUGCAGCAACGCCGCGUGAGCGAUGAAGGCCUUCGGGUCGUAAAGCUCUGUCCUCAAGGAAGAUAAUGACGGUACUUGAGGAGGAAGCCCCGGCUAACUACGUGCCAGCAGCCGCGGUAAUACGUAGGGGGCUAGCGUUAUCCGGAUUUACUGGGCGUAAAGGGUGCGUAGGUGGUUUCUUAAGUCAGAGGUGAAAGGCUACGGCUCAACCGUAGUAAGCCUUUGAAACUGGGAAACUUGAGUGCAGGAGAGGAGAGUGGAAUUCCUAGUGUAGCGGUGAAAUGCGUAGAUAUUAGGAGGAACACCAGUUGCGAAGGCGGCUCUCUGGACUGUAACUGACACUGAGGCACGAAAGCGUGGGGAGCAAACAGGAUUAGAUACCCUGGUAGUCCACGCCGUAAACGAUGAGUACUAGCUGUCGGAGGUUACCCCCUUCGGUGGCGCAGCUAACGCAUUAAGUACUCCG